rnacentral:tRNA from 1 species
AGGGGUAUAGUUUAACGGCAAAACAGCGGUCUCCAAAACCGUAGAUAUAGGUUCAAUUCCUAUUGCCCCUG